CUGUCACUGUGAGACGGACCCGCGCUGGAUUAGCUAGUUGGUAAGGUAAUGGCUUACCAAGGCGACGAUCCAUAGCCGACCUGAGAGGGUGAUCGGCCACAUUGGGACUGAGACACGGCCCAAACUCCUACGGGAGACAGCAGUAGGAAUCUUCGGCAAUGGACGAAAGUCUGACCGAGCAACGCCGCGUGAGCGAAGAAGGCCUUCGGGUCGUAAAGCUCUGUUGUUAGAGAAGAACAUGGGUGAGAGUAACUGUUCACCCCUUGACGGUAUCUAACCAGAAAGCCACGGCUAACUACGUG
rnacentral:rRNA from 1 species